rnacentral:rRNA from 1 species
UACGUAGGGGCCUAGCGUUGUCCGGAUUUAUUGGGCGUAAAGAGCUCGUAGGCGGUUCGGCAAGUCAUGUGUGAAAUCUCCACGCUCAACGUGGAGGGGCCACCUGAUACUGCCGUGACUCGAGUCCGGUAGGGGAGUGUGGAAUUCCCGGUGUAGCGGUGAAAUGCGCAGAUAUCGGGAGGAACACCGGUGGCGAAGGCGGAUCUCUGGGCCAUUACUGACGCUGAGGAGCGAAAGCGUGGGGAGCGAACAGG